ACCUUUACCCGGUGGAAACUAAGCAUAUCAAUAAGCGGAGGAAAAGAAACCAACAGGGAUUGCCCUAGUAACGGCGAGUGAAGCGGCAACAGCUCAAAUUUGAAAUCUGGCGUCUUCGGCGUCCGAGUUGUAAUUUGCAGAGGGCGCUUUGGCAUUGGCAGCGGUCCAAGUUCCUUGGAACAGGACGUCACAGAGGGUGAGAAUCCCGUACGUGGUCGCUAGCCUUUACCGUGUAAAGCCCCUUCGACGAGUCGAGUUGUUUGGGAAUGCAGCUCUAAAUGGGAGGUAAAUUUCUUCUAAAGCUAAAUACUGGCCAGAGACCGAUAGCGCACAAGUAGAGUGAUCGAAAGAUGAAAAGCACUUUGGAAAGAGAGUUAAAAAGCACGUGAAAUUGUUGAAAGGGAAGCGCUUGCAGCCAGACUUGCCUGUAGUUGCUCAUCCGGGUUUCUACCCGGUGCACUCUUCUAUAGGCAGGCCAGCAUCAGUUUGGGCGGUUGGAUAAAGGUCUCUGUCAUGUACCUCCUUUCGGGGAGAACUUAUAGGGGAGACGACAUGCAACCAGCCCGGACUGAGGUCCGCGCAUCUGCUAGGAUGCUGGCGUAAUGGCUGUAAGCGGCCCGUCUUGAAACACGGACCAAGGAGUCUAACAUCUAUGCGAGUGUUUGGGUGUCAAGCCCGAACGCGUAAUGAAAGUGAACGGAGGUGGGAACCUUUCGGGGUGCACCAUCGACCGAUCCUGAUGUCUUCGGAUGGAUUUGAGUAAGAGCAUAGCUGUUGGGACCCGAAAGAUGGUGAACUAUGCUUGAAUAGGGUGAAGCCAGAGGAAACUCUGGUGGAGGCUCGCAGCGGUUCUGACGUGCCAAAUCGUAUCGUCCAA
rnacentral:rRNA from 1 species